rnacentral:snoRNA from 15 species
AAAUGAUGAGAUUCACCCAAACAGCUGGAAUUACCGGCAGAUUGUUCAGUGGUGAGCCCGCGGUUUUCUGA